GACGAACGCUGGCGGCGUGCCUAAUACAUGCAAGUAGAACGCUGAAGGAGGAGCUUGCUUCUCUGGAUGAGUUGCGAACGGGUGAGUAACGCGUAGGUAACCUGCCUGGUAGCGGGGGAUAACUAUUGGAAACGAUAGCUAAUACCGCAUAAGAGUAGAUGUUGCAUGACAUUUACUUAAAAGGUGCACUUGCAUCACUACCAGAUGGACCUGCGUUGUAUUAGCUAGUUGGUGAGGUAACGGCUCACCAAGGCAACGAUACAUAGCCGACCUGAGAGGGUGAUCGGACACACUGGGACUGAGACACGGCCCAGACUCCUACGGGAGGCAGCAGUAGGGAAUCUUCGGCAAUGGACGGAAGUCUGACCGAGCAACGCCGCGUGAGUGAAGAAGGUUUUCGGAUCGUAAAGCUCUGUUGUAAGAGAAGAACGAGUGUGAGAGUGGAAAGUUCACACUGUGACGGUAUCUUACCAGAAAGGGACGGCUAACUACGUG
rnacentral:rRNA from 1 species